rnacentral:rRNA from 1 species
UAGGGAAUCUUCCACAAUGGACGAAAGUCUGAUGGAGCAACGCCGCGUGAGUGAAGAAGGGUUUCGGCUCGUAAAACUCUGUUGUUAAAGAAGAACAUAUCUGAGAGUAACUGUUCAUACGUUGACGGUAUUUAACCAGAAAGUCACGGCUAACUACGUGUCAG